AUGCCUUCAGCAGCACAUAUACCAAAAAAUUAAUGCCAUGCAAAGAUUAACAUGGCCCUUGAGCAACGAUGAUGUGCAAAUUCAUGAAACACUAUAUAUAUUU
rnacentral:snRNA from 1 species